CUGCACUCGAUCAUGGGCCGCCCUGCAAAGGGCUUUCGGCAGUAACACGUGAUCAGGUCCCAUGAGUCAUCACCUGGGGAAAGAAGGUCUGGAUGGUUCGGAGAUCUGAGGGGGCCGAGUCCCAGCCAUCACUGUCUGCCGCGCUCUCGCCUCGCAAAGGAGAGCUGGAGCCUGAGGCUGGCCAAUCGCUUUCCUUAAAUGGGGGGAAGAGACCAGGGUCAGCAGGGGCCCAGGGGCACCUCAGCCCCUGAACAAACCCAGCCUAAAAACCAGGGACAAGAUCUACCCCGAGAUACCCUGGCCCAAACCACUAAAACAAAAAAGAGAAUCAUUGUACUCAGAAACUUUGUCCCCUCCCCAAUUCCCCUCAGCAUCUCCCCUUGAACACCUGCACGUCACCUCUGCCCUCACUUUCUGGACAUUCUCCCCAGUCCCCACAGCCUCGCAGCAUUGUCACCCGCAGACCAGAGCGCGAUUUCCUUACCUGUUUCCGUAUAGCCCCGUCUGUUGCCAUUUUCAGCUUCCUAAUACUUAUCCAGCGGCGCCUCCCAUUAAUAACCCAAGACCGACCAUUCACUGCUACUCGGCCCCGCCGAGUCUCUGAGUCACCCAGCUGCCCCCAGGUACUGGUUUUCCCACGUUUCCCAUUUCCCUGGUCUUCUGUGUCCCAUCGGGUAGAGGCUUCCCUUACACGGUGACACAGACUGCCCUCUCCAGUCCUAGGACACCCACCCUCAGGCUACUGGCCCUCCAGUCCCUACCUCUUUGCUAGAGGGAAUGUAACCGGCAUAGGCCAACACGAAACUGCAGAAUUUGUUGAA